UACAGAGGUCUCAAGCGUUGUUCGGAUUCAUUGGGCGUAAAGGGUGUGUAGGUGGCGCGCUAAGUCGGGUGUGAAAUUUCGGAGCUUAACUCCGAAACUGCAUUCGAUACUGGCGUGCUUGAGGACUGGAGAGGAGACUGGAAUUCAUGGUGUAGCAGUGAAAUGCGUAGAGAUCAUGAGGAAGACCAGUGGCGAAGGCGGCGCUCUGGACAGUUCCUGACACUGAGACACGAAGGCCAGGGGAGCAAACGGG
rnacentral:rRNA from 1 species